rnacentral:rRNA from 1 species
GCGGCGGACGGGUGAGUAACACGUGGGCAACCUGCCCUGCAGACUGGGAUAACUUCGGGAAACCGGAGCUAAUACCGGAUAACACCGAAAACCGCAUGGUUUUCGGUUGAAAGGCGGCUUUUAGCUGUCACUGCAGGAUGGGCCCGCGGCGCAUUAGCUAGUUGGUGAGGUAACGGCUCACCAAGGCGACGAUGCGUAGCCAACCUGAGAGGGUGACCGGCCACACUGGGACUGAGACACGGCCCAAACUCCUACGGGAGGCAGCAGUAGGGAAUCUUCCGCAAUGGACGAAAGUCUGACGGAGCAACGCCGCGUGAGCGAAGAAGGUCUUCGGAUCGUAAAGCUCUGUUGUCAGGGAAGAACAAGUACCGUUCGAACAGGGCGGUACCUUGACGGUACCUGACGAGGAAGCCACGGCUAACUACGUGCCAGCAGCCGCGGUAAUAC